rnacentral:tRNA from 1 species
GGCUUCAUAGCUCAGUUGGUUAGAGCGACGCACCGAUAUCGCGAGGUCACAGGUUCAAACCCGUUGAAGUCC